rnacentral:lncRNA from 1 species
AUGUGUUGUCUGUGGAUUUAAACAUGAGAAGGAAGCCUUAACCUGGUCUGUUAUUUUAUCCGCUUGAACCAUUCUGUAUCUUCAGAACAUAAUGGGUUUUUUCACUGUCGUUUAUUUGCAAUUUAUUUUAUUCUCUGGAAUGAAAUUUCUGCUGUUUUCUUUACUUGUCCAUUCUCUGACAUUCUUGUAUUGGAUAUCAUCUUUUAAUCUAGCCAUGUCUAUGGCGCGUGUUUUGAAUUUUGUUGCAGGU